rnacentral:rRNA from 1 species
UAAAACAUGCAAGUCGAACGCGAAUUCUCGAUUUAUCGGGAUAGUAGAGUGGCGUAAGGGCGAGUAACAAAUUUCUAACGCACCCCGGAGUCGGGGAUAGCCCGAGGAAACUCGGAUUAACACCCGAUGAUCCCGGCUGGUUUCGUGACCGGCCGGGCAAAAGCUUGCUGCUCUGGGAUCGGGGGAAUUUCCUAUCAGGUUGUUGGUGAGGUAACGGCUCACCAAGCCUAAGACGGGUAGCGGGUGUGAGAGCACGACCCCGCCGCAUCGGGACUGAGACACUGCCCCGGACUCC